UCGCUACUACCGAUUGAAUGGCUUAGUGAGCUUCAGGGAUUGGUAAAUUUGGUUGGGUUUCCUUCCUUUUUUACCGAGAACUGAAUCAAACUUGAUCAUUUAGAGGAAGUAA
rnacentral:rRNA from 1 species